rnacentral:rRNA from 1 species
GCGUCUGAUUAGCUAGUUGGUGGGGUAAAAGCCUACCAAGGCAACGAUCAGUAGCCGGCCUGAGAGGGUGAACGGCCACAUUGGGACUGAGACACGGCCCAAACUCCUACGGGAGGCAGCAGUGGGGAAUAUUGCACAAUGGGGGAAACCCUGAUGCAGCGACGCCGCGUGAGUGAAGAAGUAUUUCGGUAUGUAAAGCUCUAUCAGCAGGGAAGAAAUACUGACCAUAGGGUCAGCAGACGGUACUUGACUAAGAAGCCCCGGCUAACUACGUGCCAGCAGCCGCGGUAAUACGUAGGGGGCAAGCGUUAUCCGGAUUUACUGGGUGUAAAGGGAGCGUAGACGGCAGCGCAAGUCUGAAGUGAAAUGCCAGGGCUUAACCCUGGAACUGCUUUGGAAACUGUGCAGCUAGAGUGCAGGAGAGGUAAGUGGAAUUUCUAGUGUAGCGGUGAAAUGCGUAGAUAUUAGGAGGAACACCAGUGGCGAAGGCGGCUUACUGGACUGUAACUGACGUUGAGGCUCGAAAGCGUGGGGAGCAAACAGGAUUAGAUACCCUGGUAGUCCACGCUGUAAACGAUGAUUACUAGGUGUUGGGGGACCAAGG